rnacentral:rRNA from 1 species
AUUGAACGCUGGCGGCAUGCUUUACACAUGCAAGUCGAACGGUAACAGGGAGCUUGCUCCGCUGACGAGUGGCGAACGGGUGAGUAAUGCGUCGGAACGUGCCGAGUAGUGGGGGAUAACGCAUCGAAAGGUGUGCUAAUACCGCAUACGAACUGAGGUUGAAAGUGGGGGACCUUCGGGCCUCACGCUAUACGAGCGGCCGACGUCUGAUUAGCUAGUUGGUGAGGUAAAGGCUCACCAAGGCGACGAUCAGUAGCGGGUCUGAGAGGAUGAUCCGCCAAACUGGGACUGAGACACGGCCCAGACUCCUACGGGGGGCAGCAGUGGGAAAUUUUGGACAAUGGGCGCAAGCCUGAUCCAGCCAUGCCGCGUGUCUGAAGAAGGCCUUCGGGUUGUAAAGGACUUUUGUCCGGGAGCAAAUGCUGGUGGCUAACAUCCACCGGAGCUGAGAGUACCGGAAGAAUAAGCACCGGCUAACUACGUGCCAGCAGCCGCCGUAAUAC